rnacentral:rRNA from 1 species
UACGUAGGGUGCAGGCGUUAAUCGGAAUUACUGGGCGUAAAGCGCACGUAGGCGGACUAUUAAGUCAGGGGUGAAAUCCCGGGGCUCAACCCCGGAACUGCCUCUGAUACUGGUAGUCUAGAGUCCGGAAGAGGUGAGUGGAAUUCCGAGUGUAGAGGUGAAAUUCGUAGAUAUUCGGAGGAACACCAGUGGCGAAGGCGGCUCACUGGUCCGGUACUGACGCUGAGGUGCGAAAGCGUGGGGAGCAAACAGG